GAGGGCUGUUGAGGGGUUCAGGUAGUUUCGUGUUGUUAGGCUGUAUUUUCCCCCACCACACGAAACUGCCUUAAUUGCCUCAGUAAAA
rnacentral:pre_miRNA from 1 species